CAAACGUCGAUUUCUCGAAGCAUCCAAAAUAGUCAAUUCCAUACUCUUCCAAAAAAGUUCCUUGGGCAAAGUCCCCUCCAAAUUGUUAUCGCUUAGAUCCAGAAAUCGCACUUGUGUACAAAAUC
rnacentral:RNase_MRP_RNA from 11 species